rnacentral:rRNA from 1 species
GACAGAGGAUGCAAGCGUUAUCCGGAAUGAUUGGGCGUAAAGCGUCUGUAGGUGGCUUUUCAAGUCCGCCGUCAAAUCCCAGGGCUCAACCCUGGACAGGCGGUGGAAACUACCAAGCUGGAGUAUGGUAGGGGCAGAGGGAAUUUCCGGUGGAGCGGUGAAAUGCAUUGAGAUCGGAAAGAACACCAACGGCGAAAGCGCUCUGCUGGGCCGACACUGACACUGAGAGGCGAAAGCUAGGGGAGCAAAUGGG